rnacentral:misc_RNA from 1 species
GAUGAGAACGCAGCGAAAUGCGAUACGUAAUGUGAAUUGCAGAAUUCAGUGAAUCAUCGAAUCUUUGAACGCAUAUUGCGCUCUCUGGUAUUCCGGAGAGCAUGCUUGUUUGAGUAUCAGUAAACACCUCAACUCCCCUUUCUUUUUUGAAAUGGGAGCUGGACUUGAGUGAUCCCAACGCUUUUCUCACCGAAAAGUGGCGGGUUACUUGAAAUGCAGGUGCAGCUGGACUUUUCUCUGAGCUAAAAGCAUAUCUAUUUAGUCUGCCUAAAAACAGAUUAUUACCUUUGCUGCAGCUAACAUAAAGGAGAUUAGUUCUUGUGCUGACUGAUGCAGGAUUCACAGAGACAGCUUCGGCUGGCCUUUGUAAACUCGAUCUCAAAUCAAGUAAGACUACCCGCUGAACUUAAGCAUAUCAAUAAGCGGAGGA